GCAGUCGCCGCGGUAAUACGAAGGGGGCUAGCGUUGUUCGGAAUUACUGGGCGUAAAGCGCACGUAGGCGGACAUUUAAGUCAGGGGUGAAAUCCCGGGGCUCAACCCCGGAACUGCCUUUGAUACUGGGUGUCUAGAGUAUGGAAGAGGUGAGUGGAAUUCCGAGUGUAGAGGUGAAAUUCGUAGAUAUUCGGAGGAACACCAGUGGCGAAGGCGGCUCACUGGUCCAUUACUGACGCUGAGGUGCGAAAGCGUGGGGAGCAAACAGGAUUAGAUACCCCCGUAGUCCCUGUCUCUUAUAC
rnacentral:rRNA from 1 species